AGAUCUUGGAAUGCCUUGGAGAGAUGGGUUGGAUCUAAGAUUUCACUAAAAAAAGAGAUGCCAUCAGAUGGACUCCCUCAUCUUAUUAAAGCUAAAGCCAUGUGACCUGCUAGCAUUAGCCUACUCUCCCCUUUGCUGGGAUGGAGAGCCAUGAAGGUACCCUCUGUGUGAGCCUCCACCCACCUCCUUACCUGCUCAGUGAGAUGGGAUUACAGGCCUUUGCUGCCAUAUCCAGCAUCAAAUAAUGGAAAAGAAUAGCCAUGGAGAAUUCAAGAGCUGGAGGAUGAGGCAUUUUAUGAAAUGCUGCCUUCCAUGGCUGCUGGAAUCAUGAACACACAGCAGUUAUGAACUAUAAAAAGACUGGCCCUUCAGCAGCCAAUCACAGUUAGGGGCGGUACCUGCAGGCCCCUUCUAAGGAGCUGUUGACUGAUAAUUGUUACCAGAUUCGGUGCCAGAUAUCAUUUUCUUCAAUGGUAUAGCCACUGGGGUUCUAGGGGGAAGAAGGGAUUUAAAGGGAGAGGGGUAGUAACAGGGAAUGGGAACUAAAUGUACUUACAUUAUAAUAUACAUGUACACAAAACUCUCAUUGGCUGAACAAAACAAAGACCCAGGGCUUCAUGCAUGCCAGGCAAGUGCUCUAUUGCUGAGUUAUACACCGAACUUUUUGCUUCUCAAUAAAAUCAUUAAAUAUAAAGUAUAAAAAUCAGAUGAAGUUUUGACUGUUUUCAAUGAUUUCAAAGGAGUGGUGAAUAUGAAGAAUACAUAGGAAAAUAUUUCCAAUGGCUGUUUUGUAUUAUAAGCACCUGCGAUUUUGACUGGUGAUGAAGACACACUUCCUGUAAUAGUAUAAUGGCUUUCUGCCUAUAUGUGCAGCUCAAGUAAAUGGAGAACUUCAGUUACCUGCCAAUGAUUAUAGAUAUUGUUUUUUUUUUCCCCAUACAAAGUUAUGGAUUUUGUAUUCUGUCCAUGGAUCCUAGGACAAGAAUCUGCAUAAUUCACAGUGCUGUCACUAAACUUGACUGUGUCCUUCUGUCCAAGAGGUAACCCAAGGGGCCACAGGCAUGUACUGAGAACAACAAGAGAAGGGAAAACACGGUUUCACCUUGGGAUUCUGUUCCAAAGGGAACUAGUUAGGAAGUGCCACAUGGGGACUCUGCCAGAGUGUUGUAUUUUAAGACUUUGGAAAUGAGCUAAUUAAUGUUAGAAUUUGGUUGAGGGUCAAACUGUGAGUUCUGGUUGGGUUGAAGUUUUGUAACAAUAUUUAACAUGAGCAUUCCUCAGGAAAUUCCAUCAAUUACUUAGAUAAAAAGAUGGAAGGCAGGAAGGAUAUGUAUUGUUUUAAACAAAAACUAAAAACUGAUAAUUUUACAUUACAGCCUGCUUUUUAAUGAUAAUUAAAAUCUAUUAUGAAUGCUUUUUCAUGUCAACUAAUGUAACAUUAUUAACAGUCACAUAGUAUUUUAUUAUAGAUACGUUCGAUGAUUUAACUAGUUAGUCUCAGGCAUAAUGUAACUUGUGCUGUAAGUGAUGCAGGCUAAA